AGCGAACGCUGGCGGCAGGCCUAACACAUGCAAGUCGAACGAAGUCUUCGGACUUAGUGGCGGACGGGUGAGUAACACGUGGGAACGUGCCCUUUGGUACGGAAUAACUCAGGGAAACUUGAGCUAAUACCGUAUGUGCCCUUCGGGGGAAAGAUUUAUCGCCAUUGGAGCGGCCCGCGUCUGAUUAGCUAGUUGGUGAGGUAAAGGCUCACCAAGGCGACGAUCAGUAGCUGGUCUGAGAGGAUGAUCAGCCACAUUGGGACUGAGACACGGCCCAAACUCCUACGGGAGGCAGCAGUGGGGAAUCUUGCGCAAUGGGCGAAAGCCUGACGCAGCCAUGCCGCGUGAAUGAUGAAGGUCUUAGGAUUGUAAAAUUCUUUCACCGGGGACGAUAAUGACGGUACCCGGAGAAGAAGCCCCGGCUAACUUCGUGCCAGCAGCCGCGUAACAC
rnacentral:rRNA from 1 species